rnacentral:misc_RNA from 1 species
GUUCCAAAAGGUCCCAUUUUUCAAAAUAUUCAUCUUGCUUUGCUGAGAGUCUAUCUGCCCGCUGCCGCCGAUUGCCGUCGCCGCUGCUCGUCGUCUUCAUCUGUGAGGAACCGUUUGAAUUGCGUUGCACAAUGCCAUCUCUCCAAACAGCAUUACCCCCUGAACUUGCCAACAACGCCAUCCGACUUUAUCGAGAGUGUCUACGACGAGCAAAAUACAUUGGCAGUAAGCAACAUAACACACAGCUUCUUGUUGGUAUGGUGAGACAGCAGUUCAAAAAGCAUAUGCAUGAGACUGAUCCAGAUAAAAUUCAGAAAUUAAAGGAUGAUGCCGCGAGGGGGCUUAUAAAUCACAUGCUGCAUGAAUCUGAGAAGAUGACUGGCCGGAAAUUCAGCCAGGGUUCUUGAAAUCGCCUGCUAGCGAAAUAUCAAUGCAGAGACAAUAAAGACACACUCUAAAUUUUGCCUAUUAAUGCUCAACUUUUUCUAAUCUACCUUUUUUGGACAGUAGUUUUUAGGCUACCUUCUCCACAUCUUUGUUAGUUGAAAAACUGUAGUGUCUCAAUUGAUAAUCUUUAAAUGAUGAGUGUGAAGUGGCCCUUUUUGGAAUAAGCAAU